rnacentral:lncRNA from 1 species
UUUUAUUAUUAUUUAGCGGACGUUCUCUGUUUAGAUCUCUUUAGCGAAAGGUUUUCGUCACGUAUGCCUCUAUAGUGAACGUUCGUUUGAUAGGAUUUUUCUCCUUCUUUUUAAUUUCGUCCAGGGACCUAUCUGUGAAUUCUUUUCUUACAGUUUAGUCCCUGAUCUUCAAUCGACUACAACUUUUUAGUCGUUUGUCCAAAUCCAACGAAACCAACGCCCACUUCUUCGUUAUGAUCCCCUCUAUCCAGAUAAUCAACUUAAACAUGUUUUUGGAAGUUUUAAAAUUUGAAUUAGAUCAUAUUUGUUUUUGAACUUCGUUUGAUCAUAACUUGAGUUUUAUAACUCCGAUUUAGUUUAUUCUUUUUGCAAAUCGAAGCUCUUGACCUAAACUUUCUGAUAAGGCCAAAUUCACUUAAUUUUGGUUCUGUUAGAAAUUGUUUUAUGUCGCAAGAAUUAUUUGCUUGGUUUUGAUGUUUUCCGAAUUGUUUUCUUCAUUCUUUCUGAUCUUUUGAGUGAUUGCUUAUGUGUGGUUACUAUUGCUUGCUAUCCCUAGAUUGACCAGAGUGUGACGAGUAGAACUAUCAAGAAUUUUGAGUGCGAAUCAUCUCCAUCAACUGUACAAGCAAGUUCACACUUUGAUCAUAUCCCUUUCAUACCUAGUUUUUAUGCAUUAGUUUCAACCCUCAAACAUUGCAUGAGUAGGAUUGAUAACAUGUGGGUAUUAGGAAGUAGUUGAUGAGGUAGGAACCUAUUGCUCUGCAUUCAAACCCUUGGGAGUUACUAUUAUGUUAUGCUUAUAUUGCCAUGCUAUGCUCGUAGACGUGGAUUGGGUUUGAGUGUAUUCAUGACAGAUGUGAGUAUUCUUAAUUAAUGGUCCAACUUAAGGUGGCAACUUAAAUACACAUCUCGGUGGAUUGACGCACCUUUGGAAUCCAGUGAUUGCCUGUAUUUUUUGGAAAUCCCGGGGUACCGUGUGAUUCUCCUAUGGACUGCCACCCAGGCUCAAAGGGAUCAUAAGAUUAUUCAUGCUAGAAACUUCCGUGUGCAGCCACAAGCUAUUAUGGGCUCUAGCAUAGUUGAUUAAGUUGUGUGAACACUUACAGUGGUAGACUAGCAGAUGUAGGGGAUGUAGGUGGUAUUGUCUACCCAUCGUAAGGUGCUAACGCUUCUGAAAGACUGUGUCUCGGUCAUCCGUUUCUCAAACACCAUGUAGUGCGAGAAAUCCAAUGGAGGAGAUCGAGUCUUGUGGGAAAAAGUGAGCAAACCUCUGCAGAGUGUACAAACUAAUCAUGGUUAGCCGUGUCCCCGGUUAUGGACAUCUUGAGUAUCUGGUUCUUGGAUUAUCAUGUUGAUCUCAUCACUCUAUAUAAUUAAUCUGGUUGGGUUGUUAAUUACUUCUAAUUGGGAUUGAGAUGGGAUUUACCAUUCUCAAUGUUUUCAACCAAUUUUGUAGUUAAAUAAAAUAUAUUCCUUUGCAGUAGGGAAAAAUUGGCUUUUCGCAAAAACAUUAUAACCAUGAGGUUUUCCACCAGCCAAAUAUGCAUGUAGUGAUAGCCUUUAUUCAUCAUUAUCCUAUGGUGUGAAUUUGCGAGUACAUUCAAUGUACUGACCCUUUGUGGCUGCAACGUCUCAUGUUGCAGGAUUCUUACGACGAGUAAGUGAUACGUUAGGGUUACGAUUUUCUACACUCAACUUUGUCAUUGGUGUUGAUGGGAAUCCACAACCUUGUUGUACUUCCGCUAUUUGGAUUGAGGUAAUAGUAUUUUAUGUUACUUUAUACAUGUGAUUUACCUCUGUUAUAAAUCCUCGAGUACUGUGUGUGUCAGCAUACCGAUCCAGGGAUGACACUUAAGCACAGAGACUUGACCAUCUGAGGUCGGGUCGCUACAAGAUGGUAUCAGAGCACAUGUUGACUGUAGGACGUGACUGUAGAAACUGGCAAGCCCAUAGGAAGGAUUUUCUCUAAAACAUUCUUUUUCAAAGAGAUCUUUUACCUCUCUUCUCUUCUGAGCUUAUUCAAAUAUUCCCUUUUAGUGAGACCAUAUCCCUUUCCCCUUUUGACCACUCAAAGAUUCGACUGAUGAGACCACUCCAAGAAGUACAAGAGAUCGGACAACCACGACCACUACGGAAUGAAGGAGAUUUUACCGUGCAUCUGAAUAAUGGAAACUACAACUGUUGAAGACUCCGAAGACUAGGAGAAUUUCAAGGCUCUGAAGAAUUCCCAGAUUUUUAUGACCUAGGAAGGCUACCCUUAUGGAACUUGGCAGACUAUGGAAGUUGUCAAUACCCGAGAUCAAGGUGUAUCGGAGAAAGACCGGAGCAUGGAGAGUUAAAAACUCAAAGUUCUGUCAAGGGAAACCCUAAGGCAGGACAUAUCAACUAUGGAGAGAUAGCUCAUGGAAAUGACCAAGAGCAGAAACACGGCUAUCCAUGAUGUUAUCGCCCGCUUAUGCUAUUGUCACCGUGCUGAGUUAAGCAUGCAUAUGCAUUGAAAGAUUGGAUGGUAGAAGGCUGAUGGAGCACCUAUCAGCAAGAUGAAGUUUUAACCUUAGCCGGUGUAGCACCAGGAUCUGGAGUGUUAUAUCAAGAAGUUAAGAUGGACCUACAAGAAGCAGUAUUUGAUAAGGAAGCGUUUCGUGAAGAACUCAGGACCCAAAAGCUGAAAGUAGCCAAGCUAGAGGAGCAAACCUUGAGACAUCAAAGAUUCAUCAGGAACUGAAGGACAGUAGGAUCAUGGUUCAUGUCAUGGUUGAUGAGACCCAGAAGUCUGGAACGCAAGUCCAGAAAUAUUAAAGGACGUCACGAUAGACUUUGCGACAACAGAGAUGAUCUGGCAAAAGAAGUUGAGAAGGACAAGCAUGAUCGGAAGAAGCCAUCGGAGACCUGAGCAAGACUUGAAGAGUUUUGCGACCCUGAAGAUUUAUUGACCUUUAGAAGACCAAACCUCUGUUAUAUACCUACGUUAGAUGCGACGUUUGUGAGUUGUCAUUUGUUUGAUGUUUUUCCGACAGCCACAAUAAAAAUAUGUCUUUUUAAAACUAUUGUUUGCAUUGUGUGUAUCCCUCUCUAUCUCUCUUAUCUCACCCCAAACCCAUGGACCCAUUAGUGGAUGAAUGGAUAUGAGCUUGUAUUUGCUGGACCGAUGAGUCAAUUGGAGACGGACCGAUGGAUUCAGAACAUGGAAGAUCAUAUGAGGAAUAACCCUAUAGCCGGAAAGGAUAUGACCUAGCAUGCUCUUCAGUAUUUUGAAAGAGGUGCUGCUAGUUGGUGGAGGAUGUACCAAACCGCCAAUGGAUGGCAAAGAGUAACCACUUGGGGAGAAUUUAAGUUGACUCUGCUAAAGUCUCGGUUUGUGUCCCAGGAGUUGAAGCCUUAUGGAAAUGAUAUGAAGAGACCGUGUGCAUGUAACCUCUGUGGAGAAAUAGGAUAAACCCAUAAGGAACACAAGGAUAAAUGCCCUAAUUGUGAAGAAAGUCACCCAGCUGAAGAAUGCCCAACUAGGCAGAUACUUGUUUCUUGUGUGAAGGAACUACCUGUUGGGGAACGUAGUAAUUUCAAAAAAUUUCCUACGCACACGCAAGAUCAUGGUGAUGCAUAGCAACGAGAGGGGAGAGUGUUGUCCACGUACCCUCGUAGACCGACAGCGGAAGCGUUAUCACAACGCGGUUGAUGUAGUCGUACGUCUUCACGAUCCGACCGAUCAAGUACCGAACGUACGGCACCUCCGAGUUCUACACACGUUCAGCUCGAUGACGUCCCUCGAACUCCGAUCCAGCCAAGUGUUGAGGGAGAGUUUUGUCAGCACGACGGCGUGGUGACGAUGAUGAUGUUCCACCGAUGCAGGGCUUCGCCUAAGCUCCGCAACGGUAUUAUCGAGGUGUAAUAUGGUGGAGAGGGGCACCGCAUACGGCUAAGAGAUCUCAAGGAUCAAUUGUUGUGUCUCUGGGAUGCCCCCUUGCUCCCGUAUAUAAAGGAGCAAGGGGGAGGCAGCCGACCAAGGGGAGAGGCGCGCCACAGGGGGGAGUCCUACUCCCACCGGGAGUAGGACUCCUCCUUUCCUUGUGGGAGUAGGAGAAGGGAAGGGGGAAGGAGAAAGAAGGAAGGGUGCGCCCCCCUUCCCUAGUCCAAUUCGGACCAGACCAUGGGGAGGGGUGCGGCCACCUUUUGAGGCCCUUCUCUCCUUUCCCGUAUGGCCCAUUAAGGCCCAAUACGAAUUCCGUAACUCUCCGGUACUCCGAAAAAUACCCGAAUCACUCGGAACCUUUCCGAAGUCCGAAUAUAGUCGUCCAAUAUAUCGAUUUUUACGUCUCGACCAUUUCGAGACUCCUCGUCAUAUCCCUGAUCUCAUCCGGGACUCCGAACUCCUUCGGUACAUCAAAACUCAAUAAAACUAUCAUCGUAACGUUAAGCAUGCGGACCCUACGGGUUCGAGAACUAUGUAGACAUGACCGAGACACGUCUCCGGUCAAUAACCAAUAGCGGGACCUGGAUGCCCAUAUUGGCUCCCACAUAUUCUACGAAGAUCUUUAUCGGUCAGACCGCAUAACAACAUACGUUGUUCCCUUUGUCACCGGUAUGUUACUUGCCCGAGAUUUGAUCGUCGGUAUCUCGAUACCUAGUUCAAUCUCGUUACCGGCAAGUCUCUUUACUCGUUCCGUAACACAUCAUCCCGCAACUAACUCAUUAGUCACAAUGCUUGCAAGGCUUAUAGUGAUGUGCAUUACCGAGUGGGCCCAGAGAUACCUCUCCGACAAUUGGAGUGACAAAUCCUAAUCUCAAAAUACGCCAACCCAACAAGUACCUUUGGAGACACCUGUAGAGCACCUUUAUAAUCACNNNNNNNNNNNNNNNNNNNNNNNNNNNNNNNNNNNNNNNNNNNNNNNNNNNNNNNNNNNNNNNNNNNNNNNNNNNNNNNNNNNNNNNNNNNNNNNNNNNNNNNNNNNNNNNNNNNNNNNNNNNNNNNNNNNNNNNNNNNNNNNNNNNNNNNNNNNNNNNNNNNNNACGUUGUGACGUUUGGUAGCACACAAAGUGUUCCUCCGGUAAACGGGAGUUGCAUAAUCUCAUAGUCAUAGGAACAUGUAUAAGUCAUGAAGAAAGCAAUAGCAACAUACUAAACGAUCGAGUGCUAAGCUAACGGAAUGGGUCAAGUCAAUCACGUCAUUCUCCUAAUGAGGUGAUCUCGUUAAUCAAAUGACAACUUAUGUCUAUGGCUAGGAAACAUAACCAUCUUUGAUUAAUGAGCUAGUCAAGUAGAGGCAUACUAGUGACACUCUGUUUGUCUAUAUAUUCACACAUGUAUUAUGUUUCCGGUUAAUACAAUUCUAGCAUGAAUAAUAAACAUUUAUCAUGAUACAAGGAAAUAAAUAAUACUUUAUUAUUGCCUCUAGGGCAUAUUUCCUUCAGUCUCCCACUUGCACUAGAGUCAAUAAUCUAGAUUACACAGUAAUGAUUCUUACACCCAUGGAGCCUUGGUGCUGAUCAUGUGUUGCUCAUGGAAGAGGCUUAGUCAACGAGUCUGCAACAAUCAGAUCCGUAUGUAUCUUGCAAAUUUCUAUGUCUCCCACCUGGACUAAAUCCCGGAUGGAAUUGAAGCGUCUUUUGAUGUGCUUGGUUCUCUUGUGAAAUCUGGAUUCCUUUGCCAAGGACCCGAUGCACUAGGUAUGACACCUAGAUCGGAUAUGAACUCCUUUAUCCAGACUCCUUCAUUUGCUGCUUCCGAAGCAGCUAUGUACUCCGCUUCACAUGUAGAUCCCGCCACGACGCUUUGUUUAGAACUGCACCAACUGACAGCUCCACCGUUCAAUGUAAAUACGUAUCCGGUUUGCGAUUUAGAAUCGUCCGGAUCAGUGUCAAAGCUUGCAUCAACGUAACCAUUUACGAUGAGCUCUUUGGCACCUCCAUAUACGAGAAACAUAUCCUUAGUCCUUUUCUGGUAUUUCAGGAUGUUCUUGACCGCUGUCCAGUGAUCCACUCCUGGAUUACUUUGGUACCUUCCUGCUAGACUUAUAGCAAGGCAUAUAUCAGGUCUGGUACACAGCAUUGCAUACAUGAUAGAGCCUAUGGCUGAAGCAUAGGGGACAUCUUUCAUCUUCUCUCUAUCUUCUGAAGUGGUCGGGCAUUGAGUCUUACUCAACUUCACACCUUGCAACACAGGCAAGAAUCCUUUCUUUGCUUGAUCCAUUUUGAACUUCUUCAAAACUUUGUCAAGGUAUGUGCUUUGUGAAAGUCCAAUUAAGCGUCUUGCUCUAUCUCUAUAGAUCUUGAUGCCCAAUAUAUACGCAACUUCACCGAGGUCUUUCAUUGAAAAACUCUUAUUCAAGUAUCCCUUUAUGCUAUCCAGAAAUUCUAUAUCAUUUCCAAUCAGUAAUAUGUCAUCCACAUAUAAUAUCAGAAAUGCUACAGAGCUCCCACUCACUUUCUUGUAAAUACAGGCUUCUCCAAAAGUCUGUAUAAAACCAAAUGCUUUGAUCACACUAUCAAAGCGUUUAUUCCAACUCCGAGAGGCUUGCACCAGUCCAUAAAUGGAUCGCUGGAGCUUGCACACUUUGUUAGCUCCCUUUGGAUCGACAAAACCUUCUGGUUGCAUCAUAUACAACUCUUCUUCCAGAAAUCCAUUCAGGAAUGCAGUUUUGACAUCCAUUUGCCAAAUUUCAUAAUCAUAAAAUGCGGCAAUUGCUAACAUGAUUCGGACAGACUUAAGCAUCGCUACGGGUGAGAAGGUCUCAUCGUAGUCAAUCCCUUGAACUUGUCAAAAACCUUUCGCAACAAGUCGAGCUUUAUAGACAUUAACAUUACCAUCAGCGUCAGUCUUCUUCUUGAAGAUCCAUUUAUUUUCAAUGGCUUGCCGAUCAUUGGGCAAGUCAACCAAAGUCCAUACUUUGUUCUCAUACAUGGAUCCCAUCUCAGAUUUCACGGCCUCAAGCCAUUUUGCGGAAUCUGGGCUCACCAUCGCUUCUUCAUAGUUCGUAGGUUCGUCAUGGUCUACUAACAUAACUUCCAGAACAGGAUUACCGUACCACUCUGGUGCGGAUCUUACUCUGGUUGAUCUACGAGGUUCAGUAAUAACUUGAUCUGAAGUUUCAUGAUCAUCAUCAUUAACUGCCUCACUAAUUGGUGUAGGUGUCUCCGAAACAGGUUUCUGUGAUGAACUACUUUCCAAUAAGGGAGCAGGUUUAGUUACCUCAUCAAGUUCUACUUUCCUGCCACUCACUUCUUUUAAGAGAAACUCCUUCUCUAGAAAAUUUCUGAAUUUAGCAACAAAAUUUUUCCUUCGGAUCUGUGAUAGAAGGUAUACCCAACAGUCUCCUUUGGGUAUCCUAUGAAGACACAUUUCUCCGAUUUGGGUUCGAGCUUAUCAGGUUGAAGUUUCUUCACAUAAGCAUCGCAGCCCCAAACUUUAAGAAACGACAACUCUGGUUUCUUGGCAAACCACAAUUCAUAAGGCGUCGUCUCAAUGGAUUUUGAUGGUGCCCUAUUUAACGUGAAUGCAGCCGUCUCUAAAGCAUAACCCCAAAACGAUAGCGGUAAAUCAGUAAGAGACAUCAUAGAUCGCACCAUAUCUAGUAAAGUGCGAUUACGACGUUCGGACACACCAUUACGCUGUGGUGUUUCGGGUGGCGUGAGUUGCGAAACUAUUCAGCAUUGUUUCAAAUGUAGACCAAACUCGCAACUCAAAUAUUCUCCUCCACGAUCUGAUCGUAGAAACUUUAUUUUCUUGUUACGAUGAUUUUCAACUUCACUCUGAAAUUCUUUGAACUUUUCAAAUGUUUCAGACUUAUGUUUCAUUAAGUAGAUAUACCCAUAUCUGCUUAAAUCAUCUGUGAAGGUGAGAAAAUAACGAUAUCCGCCACGAGCCUCAACAUUCAUCGGACCACAUACAUCUGUAUGUAUGACUUCCAACAAAUCUGUUGCUCUCUCCAUAGUUCCGGAGAACGGUGUUUUAGUCAUCUUGCCCAUGAGGCACGGUUCGCAAGUACCAAGUGAUUCAUAAUCAAGUGGUUCCAAAAGUCUAUCAGUAUGGAGUUUCUUCAUGCGCUUUACACCGAUAUGACCUAAACGGUAGUGCCACAAAUAAGUUGCACUAUCAUUAUCAACUCUGCAUCUUUUGGUUUCAAUAUUAUGAAUAUGUGUAUCACUACUAUCGAGAUUCAACAAAAAUAGACCACUCUUCAAGGGUGCAUGACCAUAAAAGAUAUUACUCAUAUAAAUAGAACAACCAUUAUUCUCUGAUUUAAAUGAAUAACCGUCUCGCAUCAAACAAGAUCCAGAUAUAAUGUUCAUGCUCAACUUUGGCUUCAAAUAACAAUUAUUGAGGUCUAAAACUAAUCCCGAAGGUAGAUGUAGAGGUAGCGUGCCGACCGCGAUCACAUCGACUUUGGAACCAUUUCCCACGCGCAUCGUCACCUCGUCCUUAGCCAAUCUUCGCUUCAUCCGUAGCCCCUGUUUCGAGUUGCAAAUAUUAGCAACAGAACCAGUAUCAAAUACCCAGGUGCUACUGCGAGCAUUAGUAAGGUACACAUCAAUAACAUGUAUAUCACAUAUACCUUUGUUCACCUUGCCAUCCUUCUUAUCCGCCAAAUACUUUGGGCAGUUCCGCUUCCAGUGACCGGUUUGCUUGCAGUAGAAGCACUCAGUUUCAGGCUUAGGUCCAGACUUGGGUUUCUUCUCCUGAGCAGCAACUUGUUUGCUGUUCUUCUUGAAGUUCCCUUUCUUCUUCCAUUUAUCCUUUUUCUUGAAACUGGUGGUCUUAUUGACCAUCAACACUUGAUGCUCCUUUUUGAUUUCUACCUCCGCAGCCUUUAGCAUUGCGAAGAGCUCGGGAAUUGUCUUACUCAUCCCUUGCAUAUUAUGGUUCAUCACGAAGCUCUUGUAGCUUGGUGGCAGUGAUUGAAGAAUUCUGUCAAUAACGCUAUCAUCCGGAAGAUUAACUCCCAGUUGAAUCAAGUGAUUGUUAUACCCAGACAUUUUGAGUAUAUGCUCACUGACAGAACUAUUCUCUUCCAUCUUGCAGCUGAAGAACUUAUUGGAGACUUCAUAUCUCUCAAUUCGGGCAUUUGCUUGAAAUAUUAACUUCAACUCCUGGAACAUCUCAUAUGCUCCAUGACGUUCAAAACGUCGUUGAAGACCCGGUUCUAAGCCAUAAAGCAUGGCACACUGAACUAUCGAGUAGUCAUCAGCUUUGCUCUGCCAGACGUUCAUAACAUCUGGUGUUGCUCCUGCAGCAGGCCUGGAACCCAGCAGUGCUUCCAGGACGUAAUUCUUCUGUGCAGCAAUGAGGAUAAUCCUCAAGUUACGGACCCAGUCCGUGUAAUUGCUACCAUCAUCUUUCAACUUUGCUUUCUCAAGAAACGCAUUAAAAUUCAACGGAACAACAACACGGGCCAUCUAUCUACAAUUAACAUAGACAAGCAAAAUACUAUCACGUACUAAGUUCAUGAUAAAUUCAAGUUCAAUUAAUCAUAUUACUUAAGAACUCCCACUUAGAUAGACAUCCCUCUAAUCCUCUAAGUGAUCAAGUGAUCCAUAUCAACUAAACCAUGUCCGAUCAUCACGUGAGAUGGAGUAGUUUCAAUGGUGAACAUCACUAUGUUGAUCAUAUCUACUAUAUGAUUCACGCUCGACCUUUCGGUCUCCGUCCGAGGCCAUAUCUGUUAUAUGCUAGGCUCGUCAAGUUUAACCUGAGUAUUCCGCGUGUGCAACUGUUUUGCACCCGUUGUAUUUGAACGUAGAGCCUAUCACACCCGAUCAUCACGUGGUGUCUCAGCACGAAGAACUUUCGCAACGGUGCAUACUGAGGGAGAACACUUAUACUUUGAUAAUUUAGUGAAGGAUCAUCUUAUAAUGCUACCGUCAAACAAAGCAAGAUUAGAUGCAUAAAGGAUUAACAUCACAUGCAAUCAAUAUAAGUGAUAUGAUAUGGCCAUCAUCAUCUUGUGCUUGUGAUCUCCAUCUCCGAAGCACCGUGCUUGUGAUCUCCAUCUCCGAAGCACCGUCAUGAUCACCAUCGUCACCGGCGCGACACCUUGAUCUCCAUCAUAGCAUCGUUGUCGUCUCGUCAAUCUUAUGCUUCUACGACUAUCACUACCGCUUAGUGAUAAAGUAAAGCAUUACAUGGCGAUUGCAUUGCAUACAAUAAAACGACAACCAUAUGGCUCCUGCCAGUUGCCGAUAACUCGGUUACAAAACAUGAUCAUCUCAUACAACAAAUUAUAUCACAUAAUGUCUUGACCAUAUCACAUCACAACAUGCCCUGCAAAAACAAGUUAGACGUCCUCUACUUUGUUCUUGCAAGUUUUACGUGGCUGCUACGGGCUUAGCAAGAACCGUUCUUACCUACGCAUCAAAACCACAACGAUAGUUUGUCAAGUUGGUGCUGUUUUAACCUUCGCAAGGACCGGGCAUAGCCACACUCGGUUCAACUAAAGUGAGAGAGACAGACACCCGCCAGUCACCUUUAAGCAACGAGUGCUCGCAACGGUGAAACCAGUCUCGCGUAAGCGUACGCGUAAUGUCGGUUCGGGCCGCUUCAUCUCACAAUACCGCUGAACCAAAGUAUGACAUGCUGGUAAGCAGUAUGACUUAUAUCGCCCACAACUCACUUGUGUUCUACUCGUGCAUAGCAUCAACGCAUAAAACCAGGCUCUGAUGCCACUGUUGGGGAGAGUGUUGUCCACGUACCAUCGUAGACCGACAGCGGAAGCGUUAUCCCAACGCGGUUGAUGUAGUCGUACGUCUUCACGAUCCGACCGAUCAAGUACCGAACGUACGGCACCUCCGAGUUCUACACACGUUCAGCUCGAUGACGUCCCUCAAACUCCGAUCCAGCCGAGUGUUGAGGGAGAGUUUCGUCAGCACGACGGCGUGGUGACGAUGAUGAUGUUCCACCGAUGCAGGGCUUCGCCUAAGCUCCGCAACGGUAUUAUCGAGGUGUAAUAUGGUGGAGGGGGGCACCGCACACGGCUAAGAGAUCUCAAGGAUCAAUUGUUGUGUCUCUAGGGUGCCUCCUUGCCCCCGUAUAUAAAGGAGCAAGGGGGAGGCAGCCGGCCAAGGGGAGAGGCGCGCCAUAGGGGGGAGUCCUACUCCCACCAGGAGUAGGACUCCUCCUUUCCUUGUGGGAGUAGGAGAAGGGAAGGGGGAAGGAGAAAGAAGGAAGGGUGCGCCCCCCCUUCCCGAGUCCAAUUCGGACCAGACCAUGGGGAGGGGUGCGGCCACCUUUUGAGGCCUUUCUCUCCUUUCCCGUAUGGCCCAUUAAGGCCCAAUACGAAUUCCCGUAACUCUCCGGUACUCCGAAAAAUACCCGAAUCACUCGGAAUCCGAAGUCCGAAUAUAGUCGUCCAAUAUAUCGAUUUUUACGUCUCGACCAUUUCGAGACUCCUCGUCAUAUCCCUGAUCUCAUCCGGGACUCCGAACUCCUUCGGUACAUCAAAACUCAAUAAAACUGUCAUCGUAACGUUAAGCGUGCGGACCCUACGGGUUCGAGAACUAUGUAGACAUGACCGAGACACGUCUCCGGUCAAUAACCAAUAGCGGGACCUGGAUGCCCAUACUGGCUCCCACAUAUUCUACGAAGAUCUUUAUCGGUUAGACCGCAUAACAACAUACGUUGUUCCCUUUGUCACCGGUAUGUUACUUGCCCGAGAUUUGAUCGUCGGUAUCUCGAUACCUAGUUCAAUCUCGUUACCGGCAAGUCUCUUUACUUGUUCCGUAACACAUCAUCCCGCAACUAACUCAUUAGUCACAAUGCUUGCAAGGCUUAUAGUGAUGUGCAUUACCGAGUGGGCCCAGAGAUACCUCUCCGACAAUUGGAGUGACAAAUCCUAAUCUCAAAAUACGCCAACCCAACAAGUACCUUUGGAGACACCUGUAGAGCACCUUUAUAAUCACCCAUUUACGUUGUGACGUUUGGUAGCACACAAAGUGUUCCUCCGGUAAACGGGAGUUGCAUAAUCUCAUAGUCAUAGGAAUAUGUAUAAGUCAUGAAGAAAGCAAUAGCAACAUACUAAACGAUCGAGUGUUAAGCUAACGGAAUGGGUCAAGUCAAUCACGUCAUUCUCCUAAUGAGGUGAUCUCGUUAAUAAAAUGACAACUUAUGUCUAUGGCUAGGAAACAUAACCAUCUUUGAUUAAUGAGCUAGUCAAGUAGAGGCAUACUAGUGACACUCUGUUUGUCUAUAUAUUCACACAUGUAUUAUGUUUCCGGUUAAUACAAUUCGAGCAUGAAUAAUAAACAUUUAUCAUGAUACUAGGAAAUAAAUAAUACUUUAUUAUUGACUCUAGGGCAUAUUUCCUUCACUACCCACUACCCUGCUCAGUGUCACAUUUACCCCAUGUAACAAAGAACCUUCCAGCAGAAGAAAGAAGCAAUGAAAGGAGCCCUCAGGGAAAUUUUAGAGGAAUCUGUGAUGAAGGAAGAGGUGGAGGACACACCUAAAGAAGAACCAAUUAGACCUUGCACCAAGUCUUGAUAUUCAUGUGGAGAAGAAGGACACAUCUCCCAGAAUUGUUUGAGUGGGGAUCUAGUAGAAUUCCCGACGGAGGAAGUAGAGUAUGACCCAUAGGAAAUAGAAGCCCUGAUUGGAACAGAAAAGUCCAGGAAGAGAAGUUGAUUGGAUUCCCGGAAGGACCUGAGCCAUAUCACCUAUUACAGGUGCAAGGAGUCAGGGCACUACCUCAGCAGUUGCCCAAAAAGGAAGCCGAGGAUCCAAAGAGGCUAUGUAGUCAUAAGGAAACCACGAGACUUGUCAGAAGUAAUAUGUUUCUGCUGCAAUAAAGCAGGGCACUUUGCCAGAGAUUGUCCCAAUGAGAAGGAGACUCAUGCUAAUAGUUGUGACGAAAAAGGAAUAUAGUAGUAGUAGUAGUGGGAACAUUUUGUUUUCUGUAUUGAGGUGUUGUGUUGAGGCAUGUAAUGGAUAUGCAGGAGAUUGUAGUAAUUUGAGGAUAAAGUUAGCAUCGUUAGUACUGAUUGGAUUUUAUGAGUUGUUACUCUGUGAAGAAAGAUUUUGACCAUUUUCGAGGAUAUGAGAAAUAUGGUAUAUGGAUGAGUUUGUGCAUUUUAAGGGUGGUAGUAACUGUGAGGACACUUGACCCCUGGAAAGGAUAAUGAUGUUCCACGGAGUGGACUUCAUAAGUACAAGUUUUAUCUUGAUAUGUUGGAUACCCCAAGAAUAUGAAGGGAUGACACUUAAGCACAGAGACUUGACCGUCUGAGGUCAGGAUGAAUUACUAUUGGAUAAAAAGGAGAUAUGAUGUUGGUAUUAUGGAACGAUUAUAACUCCAUGAGGAGUCUGAUUAAUCACGUCUUAGUUUGGAACCAAUAGAAGGAAGAAGGACCGUACAAUUGGAUGGAUUUAAGCAUGCUAGGAAGCUGGAUGUUGGAAUAAUGAUUAGUUGCCCCGAUGAUGAGUUCAAGGUUUGCAAAUGAUGAGAUGGGCCAUAACCCACAGGCCCCAGGACCUGCCAAGAAGCAAGCACACUCUUGCUGAAGGAAGAACCCUGGAAGAAGUUACGAUUUUAUCGAUAGACGAUUUCAUAGGAGUUUACGCAAAACUUGAGAGUUGUGAAGAAACGAUAGAUGUUUGUUUGUCUUGCAAAAUCCAUGGAUUUAUCCGAACUUGGUUCGUCGACAAGAGAAAUUCUGCAAUGCUUGUGAGCAUGACCGAGUGUUAGAAUGCGAGAUUCACUAAACCAUAUACAGGGUAAUGAUUUGGGUGCGGGAUGGAUUGAUCACCAUACCGACUUACUCUUAUUGUUCGCUUUGCUAUAUGGGAUGGUAAAUCUGAGUGACUUGCCUAUAGUAGAGAGACGACGAUCAAAACCUUGUUUAAACCUUAGAAUGGUAUAGCAAUUUUCCCUUGUACAAGGCAGUUGUUGCCAAUCGUAGGAUAUACGGUGAGGAUCAACCCAGACCCAUUUCCUGCAGAAGAAACCAUAAAUUGUGGACCACCAUGAGCUAUCGAUAGUUGUUUAGUAUUGGCGCCAGACCUGUCAGCUAAGAAGACCCAGUCUUGGAAUAACCUUACCAAGAUGAAAGGACAGAAGAAUUGCCGUAAAGGUUAUGCCACUACAGGAAGAGCCCAGGGAAGGAAUUUUCCUGAAGAUCUGAGAAGACUGGCCUGUCAAGAACAAGGAUGGAGUAUAUGAGUUUCGAUGGAGUUGUAACAAUGUUUCUAAGGGUGGUAGCACCCCAGACUCCCUGAGACGAUCGAUGGAUUUUGAGAAGACCCCAAACCCAACCUAUUUCUUGCUAGACUCUCCGAAUCUCGAGGACGAGAUUCAUUUUAAGAGUGGUAGGUUUGUAACAUCCCAAAAUUCUAAAUUUUGGAAUGUUAUAAUAAAUAGAUAGAUUGUUUGAUUGUUGUGUGAUUGAUUGACUGAAAGUGAGUGACAUUCGAAACUUUUUUUAAAGUUAAAUGGGAGGGAAUAAAAGGACUUUCCCAAACUUUCACCUUUUUGCAUUUUGAUCUCCGUGAAUUCAAAUUCUUUUCAAAUACAAAACUCUCGAGAGAAGAUGGCAUGACUUCUUCCAUUUAAUUAAAUGAAAAGGGUAUUUGAGAAUAUUUGUAUUUCAUUCGAAAAUAUUUCCAAAACUUCAAACAACUCAAUGAUUUUCAUGAGAGAAGAUAAAAUGACUUAUUCAAAACAUAUGAAAUAUGAGUUGGGAGUUUCAAAGAAUUAAAUUCAAAGUCCAUUCGAAAUUAUUUUCAAUUUGGAGUUAUUUGAGUUUUAUUCAAAUUAUUUUUCUCCAAAAAUAUAAUAUAUGGAAAAUAGGGUAACAUGAUUCCCUACAUCAGAAAAUUGGAGAUAAAUAAAUUUGAAUUCAUUUUGCUAUUUUUAAAAUGAUUUUUAUGAGGUUUUAUUGCAACAGUAGCACACUUUGAUUUAUUUGAAUUUUUGAGGAAAUUAGUUGAUGCUAAAAUAAUGUUCAUGUUGUAGAAAAUAUUUUUCUCAAAAUUUUGAUACAUUAUAUGCCUAUGUAAAAUUUUUAUUUAUUUUGCUUUUCUGGAAAAUGUUUAUUAAAAAAAACUUUUCCGCCGAACUGGGCCGGCCCAGCCCGACGCCCGCGCGCCCCAGUCCUCCAGGGCGGGACUCCGCCCGCCGCACGUCGCCGCGCCGCCAUGGACGCCGAGUCCACCCCGGACUCUGCCGCCGCAUGCCCCUCCUCCAAGGCCACCCUGACCCUCCCCUCCUUAAAUAACGGGCCACCCCGGCCCCUCUCUCUCCCGCAUCUCGCCGAGCUGCCGGAGCCCGCAGCUGCCGCCGCCGUUUUCAACCACCGCCGCCGCCGCUCGCAGCGCCCCCCGCACUACCUCGCCCCUCGCUGCCCCGCACCNNNNNNNNNNNNNNNNNNNNNNNNNNNNNNNNNNNNNNNNNNNNNNNNNNNNNNNNNNNNNNNNNNNNNNNNNNNNNNNNNNNNNNNNNNNNNNNNNNNNNNNNNNNNNNNNNNNNNNNNNNNNNNNNNNNNNNNNNNNNNNNNNNNNNNNNNNNNNNNNNNNNNNNNNNNNNNNNNNNNNNNNNNNNNNNNNNNNNNNNNNNNNNNNNNNNNNNNNNNNNNNNNNNNNNNNNNNNNNNNNNNNNNNNNNNNNNNNNNNNNNNNNNNNNNNNNNNNNNNNNNNNNNNNNNNNNNNNNNNNNNNNNNNNNNNNNNNNNNNNNNNNNNNNNNNNNNNNNNNNNNNNNNNNNNNNNNNNNNNNNNNNNNNNNNNNNNNNNNNNNNNNNNNNNNNNNNNNNNNNNNNNNNNNNNNNNNNNNNNNNNNNNNNNNNNNNNNNNNNNNNNNNNNNNNNNNNNNNNNNNNNNNNNNNNNNNNNNNNNNNNNNNNNNNNUGCUGCCGUCGCCGGAGCACGCUGCCGCCGCCAACCGACGUGGGAAAGCCGCCGGAAACCGCCCCGUCGUUGAACCGCCGAGAAACCGUGGUAAAAACCGCCGCCGACCGGUCCGAUUCAAAUCAGUUUUUUAACCGGUUUUUUAUUAUUAUUUAGCGGACGUUCUCUAUUUAGAUCUCUUUACCGAACGGUUUUCGUCGCAUAUGCCUCUUUAGCGAACGUUCGUUCGAUAGGAUUUUUCUUUUUCUUUUUAAUUUCGGCCAGGGACCUAUCUGUGAAUUCUUUUCUUAUAGUUUAGUCCCUGAUUUCAAUCGAGUACAACUUUUUAGUCGUUUGUCCAAAUCCAACGAAACUAAUGCCCAGUUCUUCGUUAUGAUCCCCUUUAUCAAGAUAAUCAACUUAAACAUGUUUUUGAAAGUUUUAAAAUUUGAAUUAGAUCAGAUUUGUAUUCGAACUUCGUUUGAUCAUAACUUGAGUUUUAUAACUCCGAUUUAGUUGAUUCUUUUUGCAAAUCGAAGCUCUUGACCUAAGCUUUCUGAUAAGGCCAAAUAACUUAAUUUUGGUACUGUUAGAAAUUGUUUUAUGUCGCUAGAAUUAUUUCCUUGGUUUUGAUGUUUUCCGAAUUGUUUUCUUUGUUCUUUCUGAUCUUUUGAGUGAUUGCUUAUGCGUGUUUACUAUUGCUUUCUUACGUAGAUUGACCGGAGUGUGACGAGUAGAACUAUCAAGAGUUUUGAGUGCGAAUCAUCUUCAUCAACUGUACAGGCAAGUUCACACUUUGAUCAUAUCCCUUUCAUACCCAGUUUUUAUGCAUUAGUUUCAACCCUCAAACAUUGCAUGAGUAGGAUUGAUAACAUGUGGGUAUUGGGAAGUAGUUGAUGAGGUAGGAACUUAUUGCCCUACAUUCAAACCCUUGGGAGUUACUAUUACGUUAUGCUUAUAUUGCCAUGCUAUGCUCGUAGACGUGGAUUGGGUUUGAGUGUAUUCAUGACAGAUGUGAGUAUUCUUAAUUAAUGGUCCAACUUAAGGUGGCAACUUAAAUACACAUCUGGGUGGAUUGAGGUACCUGGGGAAUCCAGUGAUUGCCUGUAUUUUUUGGAAAUCCCGGGGUACCGUGUGAUUCUCCUAUGGACUGC